UGAGUAAUCUGCCCUCCACUUUGGGAUAGCCACCGGAAACGGUGAUUAAUACCGGAUAUGACCUGAUGCCGCAUGGUGUUGGGUGGAAAGUUUUUCGGUGGGGGAUGUGCUCGCGGCCUAUCAGCUUGAUGGUGGGGUAAUGGCUCACCAAGGCGACGACGGGUAGCCGGCUGAGAGGGUGACCGGCCACACUGGGACUGAGGCACGGCCCAGACCUCCGUACGGGAG
rnacentral:rRNA from 1 species